AUGUUUCAAGACUAGCCAUGCACGUCUAGUACAAACUAAAUGAUGGUGAAACUGCAAAUGGCUCAUUACAACGGUUAUGAUGUACCCGGGAGUUCCGAUGGAUAUUUCCAGUAACACUAGAACUAAUACAUGUCCCUGCGUUUAUUAGUUUCGCACAGUCCGUCGCUGAGUCAUGGUAAACAGUUGAUCGACUCGACGUCCCGGAACAGUUUCCGCCCCAUCAGCUUCGAUGGUUGGGUAUUGGCCUACCAUUGCAACAACGGGUAACGAGGAAUUAGGGUUUGAUUUCGGAGAGGGAGCCUGAGAAACGGCUACCACAUCUACGGAUGGCAGCAGGCGCGCAAAUUACCCAAUGCAGACACUGUGAGGUUAAUCAGCAGUCGGCGUCUUAAGGGAUAGUCUCUUGUAACUGUGAGACUCCAACUAGGAAUGUCUCGUAAGCACAAGUCAACAUCUUGUGUUGAUUACGUCCCUGCUCUUUGUACACACCGCCCGUCGCU
rnacentral:rRNA from 1 species